AAGAGUAAUUUUUAAAGUCUUCCAUUGAAAGUUCCAUAUAUUUUAAACACAAAAAGAAAUAGCCUAGCAUACAAACAUUCUAGGGAUUCCCAAAUAAUUUCUCUAAUAGCAGAGAUCUCUGAUGUGCAAGUGGCCAGCGUGUUCCCAAAAUAUAAGCACUUCUAAUCUUGGCAAACUUGUCCUUGAGAUGCCAAUGUUGACUGGUGACUAUCCACAGGCAGGGCUAGAAAAGGGAGUGGAACAUUUUACUUAGGCAGGAAGCACUGAAGAGAAGAAUCUUUUUUUCAGUAGACAUUUGUGGGAAAUAAAAAUUUGUUUAGAAGAAUUUAGGCCAAGAGAUAAAAUGGUCUUCUUUUGACUGAGGAGAGAUAAGAUAGAUUUUAAGCAGACAUCUGAAGUUAAAGGUGAGAGAAGGAAGAUAAACUGGGUGAUUUUGCUCACCUAAGAAGGUACACAGAUCCAAAGAAAAAGAGAUUCGAGAGGUGUCUCCAGCUUCUGAUUUUGAUGACAUCUCCCAGAGAGGACCGUGUUGCCAUCACCAUCCCAGAGUCUGAAAGUGUCCAGGAGUUGUGUUUUCCUGAUUCUUCAUGGUCCAUGUAGAUGUGUUGAUGUCUGUGCAACUGAAGGAACAAUCACCUCUUCCAGUAUUUAUAGACUGCUUUUUGCAGAAUACAUUAUCUUUUGUUUUAUGCUGAAGUAGAGUGCAGCAAGCAAAAAGCAGCAAAAGACACAUAAUCAAAGUACUUGGAAUGCUGACUGUAAAAUUAUGCUGAGAACUGGCUGCAUGAUAAGAUGCUUUUCCUUCCUCUUUGUUAUUUGUAUUAUUUUGUAAAGAUAGGCCAGUGUGAGUAUGUCCAAAUAAGCUAAUAAUCUAUUUCCCUUAAAAUUUCAGCAAAUAUUCAAGAGAAUAAAAAUGUAAGUUAUUGUCCACACAGCUAAUGUUAAUUUUUCAUUAACAUAAUUUAAGUCUCGGUGAUAGUUUGAAAAUGUUCAUAAUGUUCAUUAUCUAAUAAAAUAGAUAAUUGUGGAAUUAUCUAACUCGUAGAAGAUUAAUUGUGGAAGAGUUGUUUGUAUAUUUGUAACUGUCUCGUUUUUAGUAAAACCAAUUUUUUUUUCUGAGUUAAAAUAUUAAACAAUGAAAAAGUAAACUCAAUAAAUGUAAUUCAGUGCCUUGCAUAAUAGAAAAAUGUUAACAAGGUAAAAGCUGUUAAAAUUGGGAUGGUUUCAAAUUUUAAUGUGAAAAUUUCUGUGAUAAUUUAAUCUGCUAAUAUAAUGUUUAACUCUAGAUCUCUUUCUUGUGACAUGGCUCGAUGCAAUUUAGGUUGCUGUCAUUAAA
rnacentral:lncRNA from 1 species